GCAUAUCAAUAAGCGGAGGAAAAGAAACCAACAGGGAUUGCCCUAGUAACGGCGAGUGAAGCGGCAAGAGCUCAAAUUUGAAAUCUGGCCCUCUCAGGGUCCGAGUUGUAAUUUGUAGAGGGCGCUUUGGCGUUGGCCCCGGCCUAAGUUCCUUGGAACAGGACGUCACAGAGGGUGAGAACCCCGUACGUGGCCGCCGGCCUCCGCCGUGUAAAGCCCCUUCGACGAGUCGAGUUGUUUGGGAAUGCAGCUCUAAAUGGGAGGUAAAUUUCUUCUAAAGCUAAAUACUGGCCAGAGACCGAUAGCGCACAAGUAGAGUGAUCGAAAGAUGAAAAGCACUUUGGAAAGAGAGUCAAAAAGCACGUGAAAUUGUUGAAAGGGAAGCGCUUGCAGCCAGACUUGCCUGUAGUUGCUCAUCCGAGCUCCCGCUCGGUGCACUCUUCUGCGGGCAGGCCAGCAUCAGUCCGGGCGGUCGGAUAAAGGCCUCGGGAAUGUAGCUCCCCUCGGGGAGUGUUAUAGCCCGGGGUGCCAUGCGACCAGCCUGGACUGAGGUCCGCGCAUCUGCUAGGAUGCUGGCGUAAUGGCUGUAAGCGGCCCGUCUUGAAACACGGACCAAGGAGUCUAACAUCUAUGCGAGUGUUUGGGUGUCAAGCCCGGGCGCGCAAUGAAAGUGAACGGAGGUGGGAACCCCUCGGGGCGCACCAUCGACCGAUCCUGAUGUCUUCGGAUGGAUUUGAGUAAGAGCAUAGCUGUUGGGACCCGAAAGAUGGUGAACUAUGCCUGAAUAGGGUGAAGCCAGAGGAAACUCUGGUGGAGGCUCGCAGCGGUUCUGACGUGCAAAUCGAUCGUCAAAUUUGGGCAUAGGGGCGAAAGACUAAUCGAACUAUCUAGUAGCUCUAAGAAA
rnacentral:rRNA from 1 species